UCAGGUAGGAAUACCCGCUGAACUUAAGCAUAUCAAUAAGCGGAGGAAAAGAAACCAACAGGGAUUGCCCUAGUAACGGCGAGUGAAGCGGCAACAGCUCAAAUUUGAAAUCUGGCUCUCGGGCCCGAGUUGUAAUUUGUAGAGGAUACUUUUGAUGCGGUGCCUUCCGAGUUCCCUGGAACGGGACGCCAUAGAGGGUGAGAGCCCCGUCUGGUUGGAUGCCAAAUCUCUGUAAAGUUCCUUCGACGAGUCGAGUAGUUUGGGAAUGCUGCUCUAAAUGGGAGGUAUAUGUCUUCUAAAGCUAAAUACCGGCCAGAGACCGAUAGCGCACAAGUAGAGUGAUCGAAAGAUGAAAAGCACUUUGAAAAGAGAGUUAAAAAGUACGUGAAAUUGUUGAAAGGGAAGCGUUUAUGACCAGACUUGGGCUUGGUUAAUCAUCUGGGGUUCUCCCCAGUGCACUUUUCCAGUCCAGGCCAGCAUCAGUUUUCGCCGGGGGAUAAAGACUUCGGGAAUGUGGCUCUCUUCGGGGAGUGUUAUAGCCCGUUGUGUAAUACCCUGACGGGGACUGAGGUUCGCGCAUCUGCAAGGAUGCUGGCG
rnacentral:rRNA from 1 species